rnacentral:rRNA from 1 species
UACGUAGGGUGCGAGCGUUGUCCGGAAUUAUUGGGCGUAAAGGGCUCGUAGGCGGUCUGUUGCGUCAGGAGUGAAAAACUCGGGGGCUUAACCCCCGAGCCUGCUUCUGAUACGGGCAGACUAGAGGUAUGCAGGGGGAGAACGGAAUUCCUGGUGUAGCGGUGAAAUGCGCAGAUAUCAGGAGGAACACCGGUGGCGAAGGCGGUUCUCUGGGCAUUACCUGACGCUGAGGAGCGAAAGUGUGGGGGAGCGAACAGG